rnacentral:rRNA from 1 species
CAUGAACGCUGGCGGCAGGCCUAACACAUGCAAGUCGAGCGAGCGGCGGACGGGUGAGUAAUGUUUGGGAAACUGCCUGAUGGAGGGGGAUAACUACUGGAAACGGUAGCUAAUACUGCAUACCAUCAGAUGUGCCUAGAUGGGAUUAGCUAGUAGGUGGGGUAACGGCUCACCUAGGCGACGAACCCUACCUGGUCUGAGAGGAUGACCAGCCACCCUGGAACUGAGACACGGUCCCGACUCUUACGGGAGGCAGCAGUGGGGAAUAUUGCACAAUGGGCGCAAGCCUGAUGCAGCCAUGCCGCGUGUGUGAAGAAGGCCUUCGGGUUGUAAAGCACUUUCAGCGGGGAGGCGUUACCCGCAUAAGAAGCACCGGCUAACUCCGUGCCAGCAGCCGCGGUAAUAC